UACGUAGGUGGCAAGCGUUGUCCGGAUUUACUGGGCGUAAAGAGCGCGCAGGCGGUCGUUCAAGUCGCGUGUGAAAGCCCCCGGCUCAACUGGGGAGGGUCACGCGAUACUGAUCGACUCGAAGGCAGGAGAGGGUAGUGGAAUUCCCGGUGUAGUGGUGAAAUGCGUAGAUAUCGGGAGGAACACCAGUGGCGAAGGCGACUACCUGCCUGUUCUUGACGCUGAGGCGCGAAGGCGUGGGGA
rnacentral:rRNA from 1 species